rnacentral:rRNA from 1 species
UAGAGUUUGAUCCUGGCCUCAGAGUGAACGCAUGGCGGCAUGGUUAAGACAUGCAAGCUCGAACGAGAAGCAAAACUUCGGUUUUGUGGACAGUGGCGAACGGGUGCGUAACACGUGAGCAACCUGCCCCUAAGUACGGAAUAGCCCACCGAAAGGUGGAUUAAUACCGCAUGUGUCCCUUUUUCGCAUGGAGAAGUGGAUAAAGCUUGUAAUGGCGCUUAGGGAUGGGCUCGCGGCCUAUCAGCUUGUUGGUGAGGUAACGGCUCACCAAGGCUAAGACGGGUAGCUGUUCUGAGAGGAUGAUCAGCCACACCGGGACUGAGACACGGCCCGGACACCUACGGGUGGCAGCGGUUUCCAAUCAUUCACAAUGGGCGAAAGCCUGAUGAUGCAAUGCCGCGUGGAGGAUGACGGCCUUAGGUUGUAAACUCCUGUCAUUAGGGAACAACAAGUAGGUUCAUAGCCUACUCUGAGUUAACCUAAAGAGGAAGAGGUGGCUAACUCCGUGCCAGCAGCCGCGGUAAUACGGAGACCUCGAACGUUACUCGGAUUUACUGGGCGUAAAGGGUGAGCAGGCGGCCAGGUGUGUUAGGUGUGAAAUCCCGAGGCUUAACCUCGGAACUGCGCCUAAAACUACCUGGCUAGAGUCUCGGAGAGGACAGUGGAAUUCUAGGUGUAGCGGUGAAAUGC